UGGGCAGACCAAUACUGAGCUCUUUUCUACUUUGUCAAGUCGGCUCUGUUCUCCUGAGCCCAGAGUCUCCUAUUUAGAUAAAAGGUCCCUGGUACAAAUCCAGCUUCCUAGUCAAGAAGAACAGAGAAUUUGGGCUCAGUGCACACAUGGUGUCCAUCCACAUACAAGCCGCACCACCCCUAAAGCAACUGGCUUCCACCGAGGGGAACUGGUUUCUGGAAGCUGUGUGAGUGCAUACGUGUUCCUUGGAUAAAAAUAAGGAUGGCAGGAUACAAUGAGAAGACCUGCCUUCUGCAAACCCGGAGGCAAGCCCUCAUCAGACACCAGGUCUGCUGCCACCAUGAUGUUGGACUGCUCAGCCUCCAGAACUGAGUCUUGAGACUUCUCUUCUUUUGGUGUGGAUUCCGGAACUCCUUUCUGAAGCAAGAGGCAAAUAUCUCUCAGCAGAGAAUGCCAAGACCAAUCACUUAACCAUGGCAAUCUUACUCAGCAUGGUAAUUCCCACCCUGAUGGUCCCAAGAUGGCUGCAGCAGUUUCAGCCAUGUUAUCCUAAUCCACCAACAUCUGGAGGUAUCUGUCUUUUCAAUCUCCAUCUAUUACAAAUGUAGGAUACUUUUACCAGAAGGUCCUCCUCUAGACUACUACUCAUGUUUCAUUGGACAAAUUUGGUCCCAUGGAAUUUCUUAAGUCAUUUACUGAUGAGGAAAGUGGAAUUAUCAUGACUGGAUUAGACUACCUAAGAUUCACCACUCCUGAGCCUGGAGAAAGAUAAUUUUCUCAGAGCAAACAACUGCAUAUGGCUGAAGAUAGGAAUGAACUAUAAAACAAAAUUGGAGUCCUCCAGGAAAGAAAGGGGGAAUUAAAGGGAAAUGAUUGUGUAGGCAAAACACAAUAGUCUCCAAUGCCAAAUAAACUUUGUUUUGUUACUCUCUC
ensembl:lncRNA RBMS3-AS3 RBMS3 antisense RNA 3